GACGAACGCUGGCGGCGUGCUUAACACAUGCAAGUCGAACGGAAAGGCCCUGCUUGCAGGGUACUCGAGUGGCGAACGGGUGAGUAACACGUGGGUGAUCUGCCCUGCACUUCGGGUUAAGCCUGGGAAACUGGGUCUAAUACCGGAUAGGAGCCAUUUUUAGAGUGAGGGUUGGAAAGUCUUUGCGGUGUAGGAUGAGCUGGCGGCCUAUCAGCUUGUUGGUGGGGUAAUGGCCUACCAAGGCGGCGACGGGUAGCCGGCCUGAGAGGGUGGACGGCUACAUUGGGACUGAGAUGAGGCCCAGACGCCUACGGGAGGCCGCAGGGGGGAAUCUUGCACAAUGGGCGCAAGCCUGAUGCAGCGACGCCGCGUGGGGGAUGACGGCCUUCGGUUUGUAAACUCCUUUCGCUAGGGACGAAGCUUUUUGUGACGGUACCUAGAUAAGAAGCACCGGCUAACUACGUG
rnacentral:rRNA from 1 species